CAGAUAUCAGGAGGAACACCGAUGGCGAAGGCAGGUCUCUGGGCUGUAACUGACGCUGAGGAGCGAAAGCAUGGGGAGCGAACAGGAUUAGAUACCCUGGUAGUCCAUGCCGUAAACGUUGGGCACUAGGUGUGGGGGACAUUCCACGUUUUCCGCGCCGUAGCUAACGCAUUAAGUGCCCCGCCUGGGGAGUACGGCCGCAAGGCUAAAACUCAAAGGAAUUGACGGGGGCCCGCACAAGCGGCGGAGCAUGCGGAUUAAUUCGAUGCAACGCGAAGAACCUUACCAAGGCUUGACAUGGACCGGAAAGACCUGGAAACAGGUGCCCCGCUUGCGGCCGGUUUACAGGUGGUGCAUGGUUGUCGUCAGCUCGUGUCGUGAGAUGUUGGGUUAAGUCCCGCAACGAGCGCAACCCUCGUUCUAUGUUGCCAGCGGUUCGGCCGGGGACUCAUAGGAGACUGCCGGGGUCAACUCGGAGGAAGGUGGGGACGACGUCAAAUCAUCAUGCCCCUUAUGUCUUGGGCUUCACGCAUGCUACAAUGGCCGGUACAAAGGGUUGCGAUACUGUGAGGUGGAGCUAAUCCCAAAAAGCCGGUCUCAGUUCGGAUUGGGGUCUGCAACUCGACCCCAUGAAGUCGGAGUCGCUAGUAAUCGCAGAUCAGCAACGCUGCGGUGAAUACGUUCCCGGGCCUUGUACACACCGCCCGUCAAGUCACGAAAGUUGGUAACACCCGAAGCCGGUGGCCUAACCCUU
rnacentral:rRNA from 1 species